GGUGGUACGGUAGGACCUCACCAUCCAGAGCCUAUCCCAGGUCUCCAGUUAGGAAUUCUAAGCAGCCAGGGGAAACGGGUAGUCCUGGGUAUCAGGCACCUCCUUGGAGAUGGGAGCCAACCAAGGACAGGCUGGGAUGUCAGCCCAUGGGUGGGGUCAGGAUCAGGCCUGGAGAGGGGAAGCUGCAUCAGACACAGCCCUGCUGUGUGCAAGUACAAACUAUUAAGGAUAUAGCCAUGCUUACAGAGUUGAAACACAAGCUGAUCCCUCCUGCUUUCCUUCCUAGAGUUCAGCGUGUUGUUGGAAAAUGAAGAGCAGAGAAUUCAAAUGUUGCCAGAACAUCCUGGGCAAAGCAGUCAGUGAGACCUUGAUUGCCCUUGUAUAAGAGGAAGCUCCUGCAUGUGUUUAACUGAAGUGUUCCUUUGAUUUCCGAGGCAGCUCUCAAACCACCUUGGCUGAAGUACGCAAGCUGUUGUUCGAAGGCCCCACAGCAAUGCUGAGUGAGUGGUUAAGAGAGGGCAUCACAUUUUACUCCAGCCAUCUCCUCCAACUGAUCUUAUUUUGCACAUAUCUACUUCAUAAAUAA